UAAACGACUCUCGGCAACGGAUAUCUCGGCUCUCGCAUCGAUGAAGAACGUAGCGAAAUGCGAUACUUGGUGUGAAUUGCAGAAUCCCGCGAACCAUCGAGUCUUUGAACACAAGUUGCGCCCGAAGCCAUUAGGUUGAGGGCACGUCUGCCUGGGCGUCUCAC
rnacentral:rRNA from 1 species